rnacentral:rRNA from 1 species
UACGAAGGGGGCUAGCGUUGCUCGGAAUUACUGGGCGUAAAGCGCACGUAGGCGGCUUUCUAAGUCGGGGGUGAAAUCCUGGAGCUCAACUCCAGAACUGCCUUCGAUACUGGAGAGCUCGAGUCCGGGAGAGGUGAGUGGAACUGCGAAGUGUAGAGGUGAAAUUCGGUAGAAUAUUCGCAAGAACACCAGUCGGCGAAAGGCAGGCCUGCAGCUGGACC